UACGUAGGGUGCGAGCGUUAAUCGGAAUUACUGGGCGUAAAGCGUGCGCAGGCGGUUUUGUAAGCCAGAUGUGAAAGCCCCGGGCUUAACCUGGGAACUGCAGUGGAUACUGGCGGACUAGAGUGUGAUAGAGGAUGGUGGAAUUCCCGGUGUAGCGGUGAAAUGCGUAGAGAUCGGGAGGAACACCAGUGGCGAAGGCGGCCAUCUGGAUCAACACUGACGCUGAGGCACGAAAGCGUGGGGAGCAAACAGG
rnacentral:rRNA from 1 species